UGGGGAAUAUUGGACAAUGGGGGCAACCCUGAUCCAGCCAUGCCGCGUGAGUGAUGAAGGCCUUCGGGUUGUAAAGCUCUUUUGGCGGGGACGAUGAUGACGGUACCCGCAGAAUAAGCCCCGGCUAACUUCGUGCCAGCAGCCGCGGUAAGACGAAGGGGGCUAGCGUUGUUCGGAAUUACUGGGCGUAAAGCGAGUGUAGGCGGUUGCCGUAGUCAGGUGUGAAAGCCUUGAGCUCAACUCAAGAAAUGCACUUGAUACUGGGCGACUAGAGGACCGGAGAGGAUAGUGGAAUUCCCAGUGUAGUGGUGAAAUACGUAGAGAUUGGGAAGAACACCAGUGGCGAAGGCGGCUAUCUGGACGGUUACUGACGCUAAGACUCGAAAGCGUGGGGAGCAAACAGGAUUUAGAUACCCUGGUAGUCCACGCCGUAAACGAUGGGUGCUAGACGUUGGCGAGCUUGCUCGUCAGUGUCGCAGCUAACGCGUUAAGCA
rnacentral:rRNA from 1 species